rnacentral:tRNA from 1 species
GCCUGGUUAGCUCAGUUGGUAGAGCAGGGGAUUGAAAAUCCCCGUGUCCCUGGUUCGAUUCCGGGACCAGGCA